UACGGAGGGAGCUAGCGUUAUUCGGAAUUACUGGGCGUAAAGCGCACGUAGGCGGCUUUUGUAAGUUAGAGGUGAAAAGCCUGGAGCUCAACUCCAGAACUGCCUUUUAAGACUGCAUCGCUUGAAUCCAGGAGAGGUGAGUGGAAUUCCGAGUGUAGAGGUGAAAUUCGUAGAUAUUGGAAGAACACCAGUGGCGAAGGCGGCUCACUGGACUGGUAUUGACGCUG
rnacentral:rRNA from 1 species